rnacentral:rRNA from 1 species
UACAGAGGUCUCAAGCGUUGUUCGGAUUCAUUGGGCGUAAAGGGUGUGUAGGUGGCGCCGUAAGUCGGGUGUGAAAUCUCGGGGCUUAACUCCGAAACUGCAUUCGAUACUGCGGUGCUUGAGGACUGGAGAGGAGACUGGAAUUCAUGGUGUAGCAGUGAAAUGCGUAGAGAUCAUGAGGAAGACCAGUGGCGAAGGCGGGUCUCUGGACAGUUCCUGACGCUGAGGCACGAAGGCCAGGGGAGCAAACGGGG